AGGUAGGCAAGUAUAACUUCUUAUUCAUAAAGAUAUAAUAUGAAUAACUUAUGCAAAUAAGUUCAAAAAAACUUAUAAGUAUGUCAUCAGCUAUUACAUAAGUUAUUCUACUAUAAAGUGAGAGGGGCUGGCAGCAAUUUGUCCUAAAAUCGACACGGUUACAUCACUCCCAAAUCGCCCACAUUAAGCUCAUAAUCUAAUCUAGAAUCCAUUCAUCCAUGAGCUCCAUGAAGGACUCAAGCCAAAGCCAACUGAUAAGGGAGAAGCCAUCCUCAUCAGGGACUCUAAUAGACAGGUGUGACUGGAACCAAAGCAAGCGUGAAGACGGGCAGUAGAACAAAGCAUGGGCCAUCGUAUCUGUUGCCGCAAAAUAAACUAGAUACACUGGGCUCAAUGGGACUCCACGGAAAAAUAAAGCUCCACCGCAAAACAAACCGGACACACUGGACACAACUUCCUGCAAAAUCAGAGAAUAAGCAUAUUUUCUUGUGAAAAAACCAUUUUGUUUAGCAGCCCAUAUCACGCGAUCAGUCGUAUCAAUUAUAGACAUCAAGAUUUGCAAUAUAAGAUCAGCUUCAUAAGCAGAGAAAAUUGAGCGAAUCAAAGACUCCCUCCAUCGUCUAACAUUAUGGUCUAUAAGAUCAGCAACAUAUGUAAGGUUUUGCACCAUAUGUGAGCUAGAAAAAAGACCGAACCUGGCUGCUCGGGAACCCAAGGGUCAAUUAACACAUGACUCUUCACAACAUGUAACCAAUUCCCACUAUCAUAAUCAUACUCCACUGUGAAUUAAAACAACACAUUACUCAACAUACUCCCCCUUAAUUUGUUGUUUUUGAACUCUCAUUGCAUCUCUAAGCUGCUGAAAUCUUCCUUUUAGUAGUGCUUUAGUGAAGAUGUCUGCUAGUUGCUCUUCUGAACUGCAGAAAACAAGUUGUAUAUCUCCUUCUUCAACAACACUUCGAAUGAAGUGAUGUUUCAUGUUAAUGUGUUUGGUCGAGCUAUGAAAAUUUGGAUUCUUUGCCAUGACAAUGGCUUAUUUAUUGUCACAAUGAAGCUGGAGACUUCCCUCUUGCUUCUCUCCAAUGUCUUCUAAUAUUCUUCUCAAGCAAAGUGCUUGUUGUGUAGCCAAACCAGCUAAUAAAUACUCAGCUUCAGCUAAAGAUUGCACCACUGUAUCUUGCUUCUUUGAGCACCAAGAAAUCACACCCGAACCAAGGUUGAAAACAUAACCUGAAGUGCUCUUCAUGUUAUCAAUACUUCCAGCCCAAUCACUAUCAUAUUAGCCUUUAGCCUUAAGCUAAGAAUUCUUCUCAAAUCUAAUUCAAUACUCCAUGGUUCCCAUGACAUAUCUUAGAACUCUUUUUGCUACUGCAAGAUGUAAAUGACUUGGUUUACUCAUGAAACUCUAAUAAACUUCAAUACCAAGAAAGUGAUGUAGCAUGCCAAGAUCACUCAUCUCAUAUUCUUUCAUCAUCUCUAUUUUAAAGAUCUCAAUCAUUUUCUUGUCGUUACCCGUAUACACCAAAUCAUCAAUAUAAAAGGCAACACAAGAAGGAUAUCAUUUUUACCUUGAUGCUUCACAUACAAGGUUGGCUCACUUUGACUUCUUUGAAAUACUUGCUGAAUGAAAUAGGUGUCAAUUUCACUGUACCAUUCUCUAGGGGCUUGUUUUAACCCAUAAAGAGCCUUCUUCAGCCUGUAAACUCUCAUGGUGUCCAAACGUGCAACCGAAGUGUAACACCCCGAUUUUGGGGAGUAACUUUAGUAACUCAAAAAUAAAAUAAAGCGGAAAAGCAUGUAUUAUUUUUUCGUUUUGUUUUAAAUAAAAGACAUGUCGAAAAAAAGACUCAACCCAAUGUGAAGAACAUAAACUAAUAUACAAAUAUAUAUACAUCCUCCACUGUAAAAUAAAAGUCAACGCCACGAGUAACCUCCAGUGACAGAAAGUAGUAUGAAAGUGAUGCCCGCAGGCUAAUAGGUACAAACCAUCAUUAGAGUCAUAAGUGUGAUAGUACAAUCCUCCAAAGAAAGUAGGUCAGCCUCAAAACGACCUCAGCAAGACCUCCUAAGCCCAACCAACUCCAUAUGAUCCUCACGAAAGAGAAUCACACAAAAAGCUAUAAGUCGGGGACCUACCCUACCCCAAAAUGAGAAAAUGACCAUCAGAGCAACGACACAUACUCCUACUCUAACUACCCAAGAGAGCGUGUCUCAACACUCCUUCUCCUGCUCCUCCUCGCUAGCAUAGUCCUCGUCCUCGUCAGAGUCCAGAAUGAUCAACCCUCUAUCCACAUGAAUGAUCUCUCUCCUCUCAAACCGAGACACCCCUGUCUCUGCAUCCACCACUCUGACGAUCACAUCCCCCUCCGUCAUGCAGACCAAUGGUACCACACAAUGAUUGGCGAGUGAUUCAGCCAACAUGCUCCCUCGUAUGCUUUGUGUACAGAAUGGACCGCUGCGACAUGCCUUUUUCUAGCCUUACUGGAAAGCUCUCCACCGCCAAACCCGCGUGCAAUGGACGCGCACUCCUCAGAUGGGUCGCCCAACUCUUCGACCACUUCUUUGUUUUUCUCUUUAUUGUCUUGAACUGCUUUGACAGGCUCUUGGCCUGAGCUUUCUUUGACAAAAUUGGCCAAAUGUCCUGCCUUGAUUAGACGGUUGAUCUCUCGCCGCAAAGUCCAACAGUUGUAAGUGGUAUGCCCCAAAGCUUUGUGGAGUUCACACCACCUGUUGGUGUCUACAUUAGCCCGAGGUCGACGGAGAGGGGGCCGAUAUUGCACCGCAUUAGUUUGACCGACUGCCCGUAAUAUAGUGCUUAAUGGAGCAUUCAACUUUGUUAAUGGUGUCGUGCUUUGUGCCGCGACUGGCUGUGCUGUCUGACCCGACGACACACCUUGGGAAUUCCUAUGCCACGUGUUGCUUUGGAAUCCUUCCUUUGCAUGUUGGUAGGGUCCAACCCUUGGUUGACGGGGAGUUUGAGCUAGCCUUGAAUCUUUACUCGCUUUUGGUUUGUCAGAUUACAUUGUGCUCUGUUGAACACCGUUACGCCAAUCUUCCCUUUCUUUUUUGUUUUGGUCGUCCUGCUCUAUCAAGAUAAAUUCUUGCAUUCUUGAUCUCAAGUCCAUCAUGUCUCGCGCCGGGCGCCUUGUCAAAUCAUGAUUUAACGAGCCCACCCGGAGCCCAUUUUUGAAAGACGCCACACAUACAUCAGGACUGUCCUCUUCCAGUUGCACAACCAUCUUGCUGAAUCGUGCCAUGUAGGUCUUGAGUUUCUCGCCUGGCUGCUGGUGUAUGUUGAUCAAAUCAAAGAUAGUCGCCUUAGUGGUCUGGUUCGCCAAGAAUUGUGUUAAAAAUUUGGUGGACAAAUCAUUAAAGUUAUCUAUAGAGAAGGGUGGUUGCUUAAUGAACUAUGUCAUCGCCAUGCCCUUAAAUGUUGAUGGCAGCAAUCGACACUUUACUGAAUCGGUCGUCUCGUCAAUGACCAUUUUCGUGUUGAAAUACCUUAAAUGGUCCAUUGGAUCAGAGUCGCUAGAAUAUGCAUCCAAAGUCAUUGUCUGCAAGUGCUCUGGUAUCUCUACAGCCGCCACGACAGGCACAAACGGUUGGAAUUCAACCACAUCUUCGGCGUCUACACGCUGACCACGACGGAAAUCUCUCAUCUGGUUUAAAUACUCUACUUGACCUUGCAAAUGCUCAUUUUGGCGUUGAACGUUUUGUAAAAUAUCCAACACAUGUUUCAACGCCACUAGGGUGAUGCUUGUUAUCACCUCUUGGUCCUUCAAAGGUUUUUUUGCUUUCACGCCAUCCAGAUUUAUGUGCACCGGCGAAGGAAGACGUCGUCGAGCACCUUGAUCUGACUUUGCAACUAGAUAUGAAGGUUUACCCGGAGUGGGUUCUGUCGCCGGGGAGGCAUGCGACCGCGCCGCCACCGACUGAAAACCCUCCGAAGAAGCCUUAUGUUCUGGUUCUGAAUGUAUUACUUGGUUAUUUUCUUGAUCUCCGCCCCGUCCGCUGUGCCUGCCUCCGCCCCAGCGGCGGUGCUCAUGGCGUCCAAGGCCACAAGAUCUCGUCUCCAUCACCUGUAACUCUCACCUUCUUACGUCAAUGAUAGAGCUAGGUCAAAGCCACAUACGACGCGAAUGUUCCGUACUAGAGCUUACUUAGGUUUAAAAAAUAUAUUGACUAAACCCUAGCAGAGCAUAAAUGGAAAGAUGAUGCAAGAUAAGGUAAUAUUCUCAUUAAUUGUCAAAAAAUGUGCCUAGUACAGUGAGGACCCCCCUUUUAUAGUGGGUGUGGUCCUUGUCUAGAAUGUUCUUACAUUUGGGUCUCACAACCGAGGCCCAAAUCCCAAUGCAAAAAUAAGACAAAAGAGGAAGGAUCUAACAGCUCGCAUGAGACUACAGAUAAGGCAAGUGUCCAUUUAUGCCCAUGAUGGUCGCCAAGUAUCACAGUCAGCUAUGUCCCGCCAUGUUUCUCGAGUAUCCUGAGCGGGCAAUAGGUUGAGGUAGGCCCGCCCAGUCCACUUGUGGUGUGUUCAUUCACCAUAUAUCUACUUUGUUAUCCAAGAAGAGCUAGUUGUUUUUCUAGUGUAGUUUUAGUUUGUCAAACUGAGACCCUCAAGAUGCAACAUACCUUUACUAUCACUACUACAGAAAUCACUUUUUACCACGCUUCAAUUGCCACAGUUAUAGGCGGAACCGUGGCAAAAGGUCAGUUGCCACGGUUAUAAACGGAACCGUGGCAAAAGAGGAUAAUAUUUUAUUAAUUUUUUUAGGAACCGUGGCAAUAGAUUUAGCCCAGUACACUCGUUUUUUCCCUCCCACUCUCCAAUUUUUUCUGAAAAGAAAAACCCUAACCUUUCUCUCUGUUCCCUCUCUUCCUCUCUCCUGCUCGAUUUGUUCUCUCCGUUCUCCCUUCCCUCUCUAUUCGCUGCAAUCACUCCUCCUCUCCCUCUCGUUCUUUCAGCUUGCACCAGAUCUAUUCGGUUUCAUCGCAUUGGGAGAGACAGGUUGGAAGAGAAGCUGAUAGGGAGGUUGGAAUCGGCAGUGGCGCGUUUGGAGGCGCUAUCCAUCGGAUUCCAGGGAGGAGGAGGAGGUGGCGACGUCGCUGAUGCGGCCACAGAUCCGUCCAUUAUUGCCUUCGACGACCUGAUGGGAUAGUAUGUGGCUAGGGUUUCCGCGGCUUCAGAGAAGAUCGGUGGACCGGUCCUGGAGGUCACUAAGUUCCAUCCGCUUGUAAAGUUCUUCACUUCUCGCGAUUCCCCUUCCCUCUCUAUACUCGCCCACGAGCCAUAGUUCUUCACCAAUUGAGCUCUAUCUCAGGGCGCUCUAUUUCUACUGCUUCAUCUUCAGGUGUCAAGGUUUGUAUCUCUUUCUUAUUUGCUGCCAUUUCUUUCCAAUUUUAGGUUCAAACUCACUCAGGUUUAAAAUUCGCGAGAUUUAAUCUGUUUUUAGAUUGUGCCUAUUCAGAUGUAUUUAGUUUGAUAGUUUCUUUCAUUGGGUUUGAACAUCAGGGAAGCCUAUUCAAUUGAUUCUAUGCGUUAUUCAUGAACCAAGGUGAAAAGUCUAUUCAAAUGUUACUUUUAUAUGCUGAUUUAUGAAUCUGUUCCUUUUAACACUAUUAGUUUUUCUUCUGAGACUAAUGUUAUCAUUCUCUUCACUGUGACUAUGCGAGCCAAAGAAGGAACAUGACAGAUCAAGAGGAAGUAGCAGAUGAUUUGGCUUACCAAUUGCUCCAUGAAGUGCAGCGAGACAUUACUUAUUUGCAGGUCAAAAUUUCAGAGCUAGCCUGUGUAUGUGAAAAAGAAGGGGAGAAGAGAGAAAAAUGCUGAACAAAGCGGUUUGAUAACCUUUAUCAUCAUGAAUCAGGGCAGUAUCAUUCCCCUCUUUGUUGGUGUUUCCUAAUUUAGCUUCAUAGUUCCUUAGAAUCUUUUCUGUUAGAAUUGCUGAUUGCUUUCCAAAGCAUUUCAUGAAAUUUAGAAAUCUUCGACUCUGAAAUUUCUCUUGGAUAGUAUUAGAGUAUAAGGCAAUUAUGCUUUGCUAUAUACAUUGUAACUGUUAGUUACAAGCUGGUUAAGUUUGUUAGUCAGUUGAGUUUGUUAUAAGUCAGUUACGGUUAGUUGCUAACUAUGGUUAGCCUAACUGUUAACUAUAGUCAGUUUAGUUAGCUUGCUAUGUAAGUCUCUCUCACAAUAUAAAUACUGAGAUACACUCUUGUAAUCUUCACCUUUCAAUGAAUAUUAUUUUCAGUUCAAUUCUCAGAUUCAGUUUGGGUUCUCAACUGAUAGUUUUAAUCUUAGUCAGGAUUGCAUGAUUGAAAGUAUUAGUGUUGAAUGUAAGAAGUGAUGGGAUAGUGCUAUGUUUUAUUCGAACCUCACUUGCUGGCUUCACGUUAUUUAAUGACUAGAAACUGAUUGAAGAUAUAACUGAGUACUUGCUUCUAAGCAUUUCACCUGUCUGACACAUGAUUAAAUGAAUAUUCAUGUUAUUAACGUUGGUUUGUGAUUUACUAAUCAAUGCAAAAGAUGGACAUCUACCUAGUUCUUGAAAACUGAUUUUCCAAAUCAUACUUGUAAAUUUCUCCUAUGCUUGUACUGAUUAAAUCUGGAAUAUUUUAUUAAAGUCGGUAAUCUGAAUAUAUGAUAUAUGCUUUGUGGUCUUUAAGAGGGUGAAGUCAUCUUGCAUUUCAUAUGUCUGACAGAAUGUGUAAAAUGAGCAAUUUUUCUUGUUCAGAUCAUUCAAAUAGGCCAUAAUUUUAUAGGAGAAGUGACUGACUGAAUACUUCUCUUUUUCUUCAUGUUUCUGCUGAAUUUAAGAUGAACAUCAAGAAGCAUGCCCCAUUCGAAGAAUGCUUGGAAUCUGGAAACAGGAUAACAUGCCUGGUUUGCAUAAUAUCCCUUUUCAUAUUCUUGAAAUGAUUAAAGAUGGUAUAAUUUCAGAGGUUUAUAGGAAGCAUCACCUUUUUCUUGGGGUGUUUUCUCCAUUCUCUUUUAUAAAUUGAUUCAAUUUAAAUAUACUCUAAUGUGGAAUGUUGAUGUGGUAUCUAAGUCAGAGGGAAUUGAUGAAGUCCUUCAAUAGAUAACACUUAUUUCCUGCUAGAUUUGUAUAUACAUGUUUGGAAGAUUAUAUCUUGAUGAGCUCUUAAAUAAAUGCUCUUCAAUGUGGCUGUGUUUGUGUUUUGUAAUUUUCUUUGUGUAAGCAAAGUUAAUAAUUUAAUAUUACUGGUUUCAGGUCAAUUGUUCUCUUCCUUCUUUCUACAGGUAAUAAAUCAAUAGUAUUUAUAUAGUAUUUAACUGAAAUGAACUCGGUCAGAUUUGAUCCCCAUCAACAUCUCCAUCAACAUCUCCAUUAUGCUGUCAUUUUCUAUCACUUUUUAUUUUUUUAAUGAAUGGAUUGACAAGAGGCUGGUUAGCAAAGUCGGAAAAGAAAGUAUGCGCUCUCUCUCUUUGCACAAGCUCCAUUAUUGAGCAUAAGCAUAAUGUUUUUUGUUUCAGCUGGCUACCAUAGGUGUAGCUAUAGAUGAGAACCCAGUUAAUUGAUGUGGUUCUUUGAUGGAUUCUGUAUGGUUCAACUUUGUAUUUGGAUUGACUUGUGUGGCAGGUUUGGGCAUCUUCUAGGUGUUAAUCUCCAAAGCAUUGAGUGAUCCAUCAGGUUCUUUGUAAACCUUUACUAUCACUUCAUUUAUCAAUUACUUUCAUAAUUCUUUGGAAUUUGGAUGUUUUGUUUUCCAUAUACAUAUUCCUUGAUGGCAAAAGAUCAUGAAACUUGCUUUUUAAAUACAAAACUAUUCUUUCAUCUUUUCUUUAGAUACAAAGACUUGCAUUGUUAUCUAACUGUUAAAGAGAAUUGAAAUUAUUAGAGUAUAAGGCAAUUAUGCUUUGCUAUAUACAUUGCAACUGACUAACAAACUUAACCAGCUUGUAACUAACAGGCAAUUAUGCUUUAAUAGAAAUUGUGUGAUUUAAUUAUGUGUGAUGAAAAAGCUGUUGAAAUUGAGCUAUUUAAACUGCUUCUAGGGACUGUUAUUUUCAUUCUGAAUUGCAGGGAACAAAGAUGACAAGGGGACUUAUUGUUGAUGUAGACUGGACUUUAUCAAUUAUACAUAUAGUUUAAUAUAUAUACCCAGUUAAUAUAUAUCCUCUCUAAUCGCAUUCCAAAUCCUUUUCUUCUACCUCUGAAAACGAUGGAGCAGGUUUUGUUCAAGCUUGAAUUGCAAUGCUGAUUCUGGUUGUAAUUAUCCACUUUGUUUUUCGCUUUUGUUGUAGCUCAAAGCCUAUAAGCAGGGUUCCUUUUUGGGGAUUUUUGGGGCUGGAAUGAUAAAUACUUGCAGCUAAUUCCUAAGAGUGUGAACAGAAUGAUGAGUUGCUCUCUCUUGUUACAGCUGAGUUUCAGAUUUGGUUCAUUUUUCAGGACGCUCCCAUGAGAAGGGAGAAGGUUGCAGCUGAUGUUCUGGGAAAAGAGUUGCUGAAUUGAAGAUAGAGUUUUGGAGUGAAAAGUUGCUUCCUAUAGGAGGUUCAAGUUUUGAAAACCCUGCAGCAGAAUGAAAAUGUUUUUGCUUCCAAUUUUGUUCCUUUGUGGAUGAAGCCAUUUUACUCAGGUAUUCUUAAUAUAAGGAAGGGAUUUCUGUUGAUUGCACAUAGAGAAUGCCUUUAACACUUUUGUCAGUUUCACUUUUCCUUCUUGAUGUCAAACAAACACCACUAACUCAAAUUUACUUGACAUUUGGGAGAUAUUUUAUUUAAUGGGUAUAUAUCUGCCUCUGAUUUUUUGAAAAAGAAUUUCCUGUGUUUCAAGUUGAUAGUUAUUAUGGUUUAUAUUUGAAGAUUCUUCACUUGUGGGUAGUGUUGUUGAAAGUCUCAAAACUUCUGGCCUGCUUCGUGCUGCUGAAAUUGCAACUUCUUUGAGUGAUUCAGGACAAAAGUGGUUUGGGCAUCUUCUAGGUGUUAAUCUCCAAAGCAUUGAGUGAUCCAUCAGGUUCUUUGUAAACCUUUAUUAUCACUUCAUUUAUCAAUUACUUUCAUAAUUCUUUGGAAUUUGGAUGUUCUAUCUGUUUUCCAUAUACAUAUUCUUUGAUGCCAAAAGAUCAUGAAACUUGCUUUUUAAAUACAAAACUAUUCUUUCAUCUUUUCUUUACAUACAAAGACUUGCAUUGUUAUCUAACUGUUAAAAGAGAAAGAAUUAUUCUGAAUUGAAAUUGUGUGUGAUUUAAUUAUGUGUGAUGACAAAGCUGUUGAAAUUGCUGCUGAAAUUGAGCUAUUUAAACUGCUUCUUGGGACUGUUAUUUGCAUUCUGAAUUGCACGGAACAAAGAUGACAAGGGGAGCUAUCUCCAUGAAGUGAUGCACAAUAGGAAGAUUUUUUGCAAGUUGUUGCAGGGCCACGUCUUCUUGCUCUUGUUGGAUCGCCCUCCUUGUUGCUUGUCAUCUAUGCAUUGUUCAAUUUUCUGGUUUAGGAUUUGGUGUCAGUGUUGAUUAGGCCGGUACUAAAUGUUGUAGUUUAAUAUUUUGUAUGUAUGUGCUGACUAUGAGGAUAGUAUGAUAUUUUAUAUAUAUUUUAAAUUUCCCUUUCUAA